rnacentral:rRNA from 1 species
UACGUAGGGACCAAGCGUUGUCCGGAAUCAUUGGGCGUAAAGAGCGUGUAGGCGGCUUGUCAAGUCCGGUGUGAAAACUCGGGGCUCAACCCCGAGCCUGCACUGGAAACUGGCUUGCUAGAGUCCGGAAGAGGAGACUGGAAUUCCUGGUGUAGCGGUGAAAUGCGCAGAUAUCAGGAAGAACACCCGUGGCGAAGGCGGGUCUCUGGGACGGUACUGACGCUGAGACGCGAAAGCGUGGGGAGCAAACAGG